UAUAAAAUUUUUAAAAACAUAUAAAAUUGCCAAUUGUUCUCAAUCAUUCUAACAUAUUCCUUUGCAUGCAUGCCAUCAGAUGAGAACAGGAGAUAAAUACAAAAUAAACUACAAAGGAUUUAUGAAGAAAAUUUUGAACGUUCAUGUUACAAAUUCUUUUAAGAAGUACAUACAUUUAUGUAUAUGUAUACAACUAUAUGUAAGAGACUUUGAUAUACAUUAUGGUUGAAAGUUCACUGUAAGUUUUAUUAUUGUUUAAUUACUUUUUGUUGGUAUGUUGAGAAGAAUAUCAUUGAUAUGUUUACAGUGAGUUUUAUAUUACAGUGGACACUUUGAUCUUAAAACAGACACAAUAACUCAUCUAGGCUCAAAUAUAAUAUUCAUGGACAAGCUUUUGCUGAAGUGUAGUGUGUACUUUAACUUUGUGUUUUAAAAGGUACAUUACUUCAGAGGAAAUAAAUGAUAACUAUAAAGAAAAAGGAAAGUUUUGGGAAAAAUUUCUAUCUGUCUGAAUCUGCCAUUUGUACAUUAUUUCUAUUUCAUUUCUAAUGUUGUAGUCCCUUGGGAAAAAAAUUACAAAACAUAAAGACAAAAAACCUCUAAGGCAUAGUAAUAGCUUGUGCUCAUUUAUUUUUAAUUUACCUGUGACCUGACCAUACCUAUCCUCUUAUCCUAUACUAUUUUUCCCUUGCCGGAGACAAAGAUCAAACAUAACAUUUAUUACAAAAUUCAAUCCUCAUUUUUCAUUUACUAAUCCUUCUGCUAUUCAGCUAGCAGCAUGAUAUGGUAGAAGAGCACUAGAUUGAAAUCCAGAAGACCUGGAUGCUAACCUGGUCUCUAUUGCUUACUAGUUAUGUAACUUUAAGCAAAUGACAUAAACUCUAAUCCUCAGCUUCCUCAUUUGUAAAAUGGUAAUAAUACUUGCCCUGCAUUUUUAUAGGGCAUUUGUGAAACUCAAAUUAGAUCAGGCAUGUUAACGUUUUUAAAAAUAUAUCACAAGGGCAGAACGCUUCAGACGCUGAGAGACAGGAGGCACUAGGGAUCGUCUGCAGGAUUAGGACUGCUGCAGAGGUCGCCACGAAGCCCGCCGGAGCCACAGUUCCUGCUGCUGCUGCCGCCGCUGCCCAAAUCAAUCAGAACCGUCAGGCCGCAACUGCCAGCAAUGCCUUAAAGGAAGAGGAAUGCAGGCAGUAGUUCAGAUGGAACCAAAGAUUCCGGUUUUUCUACAGAUCUCAAGCACACAGACAGUUCAGAAAGUGACGGCACAUCCCGACAAUGUGCUCAAGUUACUCGCUCCUCAGCCAGGCUAAGCCAGAGUUCUCAAGAUUCCAGCCCUCUUCGAAAUUUGCAGUCUUUUGGCACCGAAGAGCCUGCUUAUUCUACCAGAAGAGUGACCCGUAGUCAGCAGCAGCCUACUCCAGUGACACCGAAAAAAUACCCUAUUCAGCAGACUUGUUCAUCUGGCUCAGAAACUGAGCAAGUGGUUGGUUUUUCACAUAGAGAAACGAAAAAUACAGCUGAUCAUGAUGAGUCACCACCUCGAACUGGAAAGGAUCCUUCUUCUGAGUCUGACAUAGACAUUUCCAGCCCCAAAGUGUCUCACGAUGAGAGCAUUGCCAAGGACACGUCCCUGAAGGACUCACGCAGUGAUCCCUCUCAUUGCCCCAAGCGCCGUCACUUUCACGAAAGCUACAACUUCAAUAUGAAGUGUCUGACACCAGGCUAUAACUAUCUAGGAUAACUUACAGGAAAACAUGAGAGACAUUUCUCCAUCUUAUGAGGCCCUCUCUAUGAUAACCUCUCAGCUGACGAAUGCAAGAUGAGAGCACAGAGCCGGGAUAAGCAGAUAGAAGAAAGGAUGCUGUCUCACAGGCAAGAUGACAACAGGCCUGCAACCAGACACCAGGCACCAACAGAGAAGCAGCUUCAAUAUAAGGAAAAAGUGGCUGAACUCAGGAGGAAAAGCAAUUCUGGACUGAGCAAAGAACAGAAAGAGAAAUAGAUGGAACACAGACAGACGUAUGGGAACACACCGGCACCUCUCACAGAAAACCUGACAAGCGAGUAUCAGUUGGAUCUUUUCCAAAGAGCACAAGCCUGGGCUUCAGAGGAUUUGAAGAAGCUAAGGCUGCAAGGCCAAAUCACAGAGAGAAGCAACAUGAUUAAAACAAUUGCUUUUGGCUGCUAUGAGCUUGAUACCUGGUACCAUUCUCCCUAUCCUGAAGAAUAUGCAUGACUGGGACGUCUCUCUAUGUGUGAAUCCUGUUUAAAAUAUAUGAAAAGCCAAACGAUACUCCACCAGCACAUGGCCAAGUGUGUGUGGAAACACCCACCUGGUGAUGAGAUAUAUUGCAAAGGUUCAAUCUCCAUGUUUGAAGUGGAUGGCAAGAAAAACAAGAUCUACUGCCAAUACCCGUGCCUGUUGGCCAAACUUUUUCUGGACCACAAGACAUUAUAUUACAAUGUGGAACCCUUCCUGUUCUAUGUUAUGACAGAGGCGGACAACACUGGCUGUCACCUGAUUGGGUAUUGUUCCAAGGAAAAGAAUUCAUUCCUCAACUACAACGUGUCUUGUAUCCUUACCAUGCCUCAGUACAUGAGACAGGGCUAUGGCAAGAUGCUCAUUGAUUUCAGUUAUUUGCUUUCCAAAGUCGAGGAAAAAGUUGGCUCCCCAGAACGUCCACUCUCAGAUCUGGGGCUUAUAAGCCAUCACAGUUACUGGAAAGAAGUACUUCUCCGCUACCUGCAUAAUUUCCAAGGCAAAGAGAUUUCUAUCAAAGAAAUCAGUCAGGAGACGGCUGUGAAUCCCAUGGACAUUGUCAGUACUCUGCAAGCCCUUCAGAUGCUCAAGUACUGGAAGGGAAAACACCUAGUUUUAAAGAGACAGGACCUGAUUGAUGAGUGGAUAGCCAAAGAGGCCAAAAGGUCCAACACCAAUAAAACAAUGGAUCCCAGCUGCUUAAAACGGACCCCUCCCAAGGGCACCUAAAGUGACCUGUCAUUCUGAGCCAGCGAACCCCAGCAGUAGGAAUCCGUACCCUAGGGAUCUGUCUGUCAUUUCUGUUGCUCUUGUGAUUGGCAAGUACCGUUUAGGAAGGCCAUCCCCCUCAGGACUGUCCUGGCUCUGACCUUCAUGUACACUGCAGACGCUGGUUCUAAGGAACUGUUGUUUCAGCCUCAGUGAGGUUGCCUGGAUGAGAUCUGUAUUAGACUUGAGUGCAGAUCUCUCAGCACUGACCUAAGGAGUUUUGUUAUGGUACUGUACGUGUCCAGCCACUGGUUCUCUCUUCAUGUCCUCUCGCCCCAUGAGGUUGUUCUGUGUCUUCUAAGCAUGGUACUAGUGCUUGCCACCUGUCACCAGCCCUCCAAAUAUGGCUGCCACCACCAGGACCUUUCCAGUUACUCCUAAUACAUAUGUUCUAUGGAGGGGCAGGGAAGAGGUGGCACUUGUGAGUGUGUGUGGAUUAGGAGGGGGUCCAUUCACUUUGGGCUAUAUCUUGCUUUAAAUUUCUUUCCUUCAUUUUGAUUGAGAGACCUCUUUUUGAUCAGUAUUGGGCUAACCAGAUCCAAAUACUUUUGAAGAGCUUCCCAGGGACUAGUCAUGGUAACAGCAUAUAAUUUAUCUGAAUGAGAUGGAGAGAAAAAUGAAGUGGUGGUUCUGUGCUUGAGUUCACCUGUGGGCAGUGGGCAGUGUCUUGGGAGAAGGGAAUGGAUACUUCUUUUUGCCUCACCAGAAAGGACCCACCAGUAAAUAUUUCCUUCUCUCUUUACUCCCAGUCCCUUUGUACAUUUGCAGGUGCCAAAGUCAUAUCCAGUUCACCCUUUCCUGCUACAUGCUAACUGGUUAAUUAUACUGCAGAAACUUUUUCACCUGUACCAGUCCCGAUGUACAUCUGUCCUUCCAUAUAAAUUGCACUGGUUUUGUCUGAAUGCCCUGGGAGAAGUUGAAAAUGAUUGAAAGUGCCUUCUGUAUUUCAGCCCAUGACUCAGCAAGGCAGAAUGCCCGCCCCUGCCAAGGUUUGCUUCUCUUUUCAAUGGUGCCUCACCCUCCCUCUAGGAUUAAAGUGCUUCUGCCCUUCCAUGAAUUCCUCCUCCAUUUCCUUUUUGGGAUUCGUACCAUCCUUCUUUUGUCUGGUCUUCUAUUUUUGGUGUUGUUCAAGUGGAGGAAGAGAUGUUUCCUCUAAUUUCUCUCUAGCCCAUUAUAACCUGCUAUCUUGAGGCAACUUUUGAUGUAUGACAUGUCACCCUUCCCAACUUAGUCUCCUGCAACAUGCUGUUUUCAUGUGGAGCCCUCACCACAAUCCCUGAUUCUGGUCAUUUGUGCCUUUUUCUUGUCAUCUCUGUAUACUACUUAUAUUCACUGUGGGUUGUGAGAGCUAAUUUUAAGCAUGUUCAGUGGCAGCUUCCCUCCAGUUUCAGUGUCACUGUUAAAAUUUAUCCAAAAGCAACUUCACUGGGAGUUUUCUUAAGGGGUAAAGGCCUUUUAAAGAAGCUAAACCCUCCCCCACGUGGUAGAAUGUGCUCUUCUAUAUCUAGUCCUCAAUAAAGCAUGUUCUCUGCUCA